CACUCCUACGGGAGGCAGCAGUGGGGAAUAUUGCACAAUGGGCGCAAGCCUGAUGCAGCCAUGCCGCGUGUAUGAAGAAGGCCUUCGGGUUGUAAAGUACUUUCAGCGGGGAGGAAGGCGAUAAGGUUAAUAACCUUGUCGAUUGACGUUACCCGCAGAAGAAGCACCGGCUAACUCCGUGCCAGCAGCCGCGGUAAUACGGAGGGUGCAAGCGUUAAUCGGAAUUACUGGGCGUAAAGCGCACGCAGGCGGUCUGUCAAGUCGGAUGUGAAAUCCCCGGGCUCAACCUGGGAACUGCAUUCGAAACUGGCAGGCUAGAGUCUUGUAGAGGGGGGUAGAAUUCCAGGUGGAGCGGUGAAAUGCGUAGAGAUCUGGAGGAAUACCGGUGGCGAAGGCGGCCCCCUGGACAAAGACUGACGCUCAGGUGCGAAAGCGUGGGGAGCAAACAGGAUUAGAAACCCCUGUAGUCCC
rnacentral:rRNA from 1 species